rnacentral:misc_RNA from 1 species
AAAACCACAGCCAUCGCCCAUGCCAAUUGGGCAAUAAUACUCAUAUUUGUAGAUUUAGUGUUAGAGAUGCCUAAUAAGAUAUGGCGAUUUCUUCAAAACGGCUUCUCGUUUUUCUAUUUCUCUGCAUAGCAAACUCUCUCCAAUUCUUGAUAGUUUCUUCUUCUACUUCCCCUCAGGGUUAUCAAGAAUAUGCAGCUGCAAGAACUCUCAAGCAAGAGCAGGGGAAUGCUCAUGAAGUGCAUUGUUCAAGAGAAAGGAGUAGGGCAGCAUGGAAGAUAAUUGAGAAGUAUUUGAUGCCCUUUGUUGAGAAGGAAAAGUAUCAGAUUUCAAUUAGUUGUAGGCUUCAUCCUGAAAAUGACCUGUACAGAGAUCAAGAACAGCACAAGCUCCAUGAAGAUAUAAAUGAAUGGAGAUGUGGGUACUGUAAAAAGACAUUUUAUGAUGAGAAAUAUCUGGAUAAGCAUUUUGAUAACAGACAUUACCAUUUACUGAACGUGAGUCAAGGCAGAUGCUUGGCAGAUGUAUGUGGUGCAUUACAUUGUGACCAAGUGAUGGAUUCUGCAACACGCAAGACUAAGUGCAAUCCUGCAGCUGCUGCAAAGAAUAAACAUCUGUGUGAGGUGGCCUCUAAAUGAUACUUGAAUUUUUAUCAAUUCCCUUGUCAUUUACUUUACCAAUAUGAUUAUUCAAUGCAGAGUCUAGCUCAAAGUUGUUUUCCAGUCAAUGAGGGUCCUUCAGCUCAUCACCUUAAUGAGUUCUUCUUGCGACAAUUUUGUGACGCCCACACUUGCACUGGACGUCAGAAACCAUUUUCUAAAGGGGGCAAGGUAAAUUUCAAAUCUUUUGGCUUGUUUUUGUUCUAUUUAAAGAGAUAACAAGUAACCAAACAGCUCACUGGAUUAAGUGAUGUAAGGUGAGUGAUCAUAGAGUUGAAUUCAUAUAGCAAAAGUUCCAAAGUUAUAGCAACGACAGGUGAUGAAAUGGGGAUGCCCAUUUUUGGCUCAGUUCCUCCUCAGUUUUCAAUUUAUAGCCAGUUAAAUUUUAAUUACUGGAAACAUCUCACCAAUGUACUCAUGCUUAGAUCAGACAAGUGAAACAAGUUAACAUUGAUUUAUCUGUAAAGUGGAAGAUCUCACUGUGACACACACCAAUUACUGUUAUUGUCAAAAUCAUGCAUGCUUGUUGAGAUUUUUAUGCUAUUUAGCAUAUUUCUAACUCAAACUUCAUGCAUUUCUGAGGUUUGAUGAUUAUUUACUGAUUCAUUACGCCUGUUCCAUUUCAUAUGUGCAGAAGGAAAUGAGUAUACUAUAUAUUAUACUAUCUGUCAUGAUUCUGAUGCUGUUGUUGCUUUUCUAUGGCUUCGUGUACUUGUACAGAAGGUAAUCAUUUUAAUGCUUGCAUCUAAUUUUCCUGUUGUUUUCAAAUGGAUUCAAAUGUUUGGUUAUUAUGCUGUAGGGGAAUAAAAAGGGGCACCCAAGGUCUGAAGCGCAUAUCAAAAAGUAGACAGAAAAAAUCUUCAUAGAUGAUGUUCUUUUGACAUCAUAUUUGUUGUGAUAUUUGAUUUAAUUAGCUUCAAUUUUUACAGGUAAAAACUGUCCAUUUUUGCGCUUAGAUUACAAGUGCUAUCAGCUUUCUUUUAGUAUACUUUUCUGCACCCUGAAUUUUUGGGUAAAGAAAAACCAGAUAGGGAAACAAGCCAAUGUAAUGAAAGAUGUUUAUGACUUUUCUGAACACGAAUGCUUUGUACAUUGAUCUUCUGGUUAGAUAUUUUCUGAUAAACAAGAAUUUUAAUUACAAGGCAAAAAAGGGAUAUGAAGAAAAAAAAAA